GGGGGGCUGGCGCAACGGUAGCGCGUUAGAUUCCAGCGAUGUCUUUCGAAUUCCUCUCGAAGUUAUCGUGACUCCUAAAGGUUAUCAGUUCAAAUCUGGUGUCCCUCA